rnacentral:rRNA from 1 species
UAAGCGAAUAGUGAAAUGACGAGGCUCAACCUCGUGUCCAUUAUUUGAACUGGCAAGCUAGAGAAUGUGAGAGGUACCUGGAAUUCCCUGUGUAGGAGUGAAAUCCGUAGAUAUAGGGAGGAACACCGAUGGCGUAGGCAGGGUACUGGCACAUUUCUGACACUAAGGCACGAAAGCGUGGGAGCAAACGGGAUUAGAUACCCCGGUAGUCCACGCCGUAAACGAUGAGUGCUA